rnacentral:rRNA from 1 species
AUGGCGCCGAUUCACAGUAACAGCUCUCGCCGCCUCGACGGCACGGUGCUUGCGCUUCUGCUCGUGCUCGUGGCCGCCACUGCCUUUGUCGGCGCUGCCGCGGCGCGAGGGGACGCGCUGGCCGCCCGGCACGAGCGGUGGACGGCCAAGUACGGGCGCGCGUACACGGACGCUGCCGAGAAAUUGCACCGGCAGGAGGUGUUCGCGGCCAACGCGCGCCACGUAGACGCUGUCAACCGGGCGGGCAACCGGACGUACACCCUCGGGCUCAACCAGUUCUCCGACCUCACCAACGAAGAGUUCGUGGAGAAGCACCUCGGGUACCGUCACCAGCCGGGCGGGCUCCGUCCCGAGGACACGCCGGUGGCCGCGGUGAACAUGUCCAAGGCUCAGUUCCAGUCCACGCCGGACAGCUUGGACUGGAGGGCCCAGGGCGCCGUCACCCAAGUCAAGAACCAAGCCCCAUGUGGUAAGGAUCUGCAGGCCAAAGUUGGCAAAUGA